AAAACCAAGACUCUCCUUACCAUAAACGGCGCUGAGACAUCAAUCAACAUCCCGGGACCCAAAAGACAAAGUCUCAAGAAGAAAGGAAGGAGAUCUAGAUCUUCAAUGGAGAGAGAUCUGCAUCUGAGGCGUUGAAGGAUAGAAAAAAACCUGCCUCUGCCAUAGUUGGAACGGCCAGAAUUGAAACUGCAGACGAAGGAGACAAACAAGCAACAAAACCGGAAGAGGAAAAGAUUUAGACUUUACAGAUUUAGAUCUGAGAAUUUAGAAAAGAAACCGUUAGAAGAAAAUAGGAUUCAGAUCACAUUAAACCCACAAGAAAUCGAAACUAGAGACACUAAAACAAAGAAAUCCGGUUCCGGUGCUGAAAAAGCCACCGGAACCGGUAACCCUAGGCGGCGGCGGAGCUUUGUAGAGAGAAAAAAAAAAUUUGUUUUAAGAGAGAGAAGGAGUUGUCGUCAGUAUGUUUUCAUUUCUAUUGCAGUCAAAAAAAAUAAAAAAAAAUUCAUUUCUAUUCAUCCAUAUAAAUAAAAACCGGUGGUGUUGGUUUAGGUGAUCUAUAG